UACGUAGGGUGCAAGCGUUAAUCGGAAUUACUGGGCGUAAAGCGUGCGCAGGCGGUUUGGUAAGACAGAUGUGAAAUCCCCGGGCUUAACCUGGGAAUUGCAUUUGUGACUGCCCGGCUAGAGUGUGUCAGAGGGGGGGUAGAAUUCCACGUGUAGCAGUGAAAUGCGUAGAGAUGUGGAGGAAUACCGAUGGCGAAGGCAGCCCCCGUGGGAUAAC
rnacentral:rRNA from 1 species